CUCCCAGCAGCCUUUUAGACACACAGCCUGUGUGAUGUACAGCCCAUGUGGUCCAUCUGCAAAAGCAGCACUAACCUUUUGACCUUCCUUUUAGAUCAGAGAAGACAGAGACUUUUUAGAAAAUGUGAACAGCCUCUACAGAGUACAGAGAUUGGGACAGCCCGAGGACUGUGCUGGACUUGUGUCCUUCCUGUGCUCCCCAGAUGCCAGCUUCAUAACCGGCGAGAACAUCGUGGUGGCCGGCUUCUCUCCCCAUAUCUGAGGGGGCUCUCCAUGCAGGAGCCCCAUGUGCCUGUGCUCUAAGUGUGUGCACUUUCAUUGAAACCCUUCACUGACAGAAAUAAUAAAGAACGUCAGAAAAG
rnacentral:lncRNA from 1 species